GAUGAACGACUGGCGGGCGUGCCUAACACAUUCAAGUCGAACGGUGAAGUACCUUCGGGUACGGAUCAGUGGCGGACGGGUGAGUAACGCGUGAGCAACCUGCCUUUCAAAGCGGGAUAACGGCUGGAAACGGACGCUAAUACCGCAUGAUGUAUGCGAGGCGCAUGUUUUGCAUACCAAAGAUUUAUCGAUGAAAGAUGGGCUCGCGUCUGAUUAGAUAGUUGGUGAGGUAACGGCUCACCAAGUCGACGAUCAGUAGCCGGACUGAGAGGUUGAACGGCCACAUUGGAACUGAGAUACGGUCCAG
rnacentral:rRNA from 1 species